GAUGAACGCUGGCGGCGUGCCUAAUACAUGCAAGUCGAGCGAACAGACGAGGAGCUUGCUCCUCUGACGUUAGCGGCGGACGGGUGAGUAACACGUGGAUAACCUACCUAUAAGACUGGGAUAACUUCGGGAAACCGGAGCUAAUACCGGAUAAUAUAUUGAACCGCAUGGUUCAAUAGUGAAAGACGGUUUUGCUGUCACUUAUAGAUGGAUCCGCGCCGCAUUAGCUAGUUGGUAAGGUAACGGCUUACCAAGGCAACGAUGCGUAGCCGACCUGAGAGGGUGAUCGGCCACACUGGAACUGAGACACGGUCCAGACUCCUACGGGAGGCAGCAGUAGGGAAUCUUCCGCAAUGGGCGAAAGCCUGACGGAGCAACGCCGCGUGAGGGAUGAAGGUCUUCGGAUCGUAAAACUCUGUUAUUAGGGAAGAACAAAUGUGUAAGUAACUAUGCACGUCUUGACGGUACCUAAUCAGAAAGCCACGGCUAACUACGUG
rnacentral:rRNA from 1 species